UUAUUGUUCGCUGGCAUUAUGUAACCUUGUAGCAUUUUAUUCCAUUUUGGUGUGGCGAGCGCUGGUUCUGCGUCUGGCUGCUGGCUGCUGGGGCUGUCUGUGUGAAUCAGAGCUAUGGCCCUCAGAACAUUUUGACAAUAGAGGCUCAAUGAGGAUAAAGACAAUCAUUGUCUUCCCACCCAGUGACAGGAGAAACACAUUGCUUACAGCAGGACCUGUGCCAAGUAAAAGAGCACUAUGCAGUCAGUCAAGGAGUAAGAGUACCCGCUGGCUCUGGCAUAGUGGCUGCUGUGAUAUUCAGCAAGCCAUUCUUCACUGCAGUCAACCCUAGCCAAGUCAUGGCAAAGAACACAGAACCAGAAGAAAGUUAUUGCAACAAAGUUGUGGUCAAGAUGGAUGCGUCCAGAGAAGGUUUGGGAGCAGUGCUAUCAAAAGCAGCUGAAGGGCUGGAGUGACCGGUUGGCUACACCAGCUGAAAGCCGAAUGACCAUGAGCAGAAGUACUCCAUGGUAGCUUGGGGAUGCUUGGCCAUACGGUAUGCCUCUAAUAUUCCAUGAAAGAAUGGGAAAGAAACCACAAAGAUGACUGGAAUACACAGACCUAAAACACAUGUGUCUGCAUGUCUGCAGCAGGGAAUCUGGCCAGCUCUCAGCAGCCGCCUUUCCUCUAAGAAUUGCAGACUGAAGCAAAUUCCCA